rnacentral:lncRNA from 1 species
GAACUCUUUUCUUAUAAAGUCCUGUCCAUAGGUUCCAGGGAUCAGGAAGUGGAAAUGUAUUGUCAGAGGCCAUCAUUCAGCCCAGAAUGGUGCCCAAAGUUUCGAAGCAAUGUGCCAUGACUGGGUGUGGUCUGCCCACCAGACUCCAUGUGUUAGAAGCGUGGGUGGUGAUGCUGAGAGGUGGUGAGACCUUGAAAAGGGAUUUGUUUUGCUCGAGUUUUAUCAAGUCUUAAGAGCCAGCGCCUUCUAGCAUCUGGUGGAAAAGUCAGAAGAUGUGACCUCACUGGAUUCCUGCUCCGGCCGGAGCUGACCUGGUCCCCGCUGGCUCCGGAAGCUAGGCCGGGGCGUUGGCCUGGGUCUGGCCCCUGCCUUCCAAGAGCCUGCCCCGGACAGCACGCCCCCUGGGGGCCGCCCGAGUAACUGCGCCUCAGUAGCAGGGUCCACCGGUAACAUGGGAGAGAAAGGACGGACUGAAGGCCCGAAAAAUGCUCGGGCACACCCUUUAAAUGUGCA